rnacentral:rRNA from 1 species
UACGUAGGGUGCGAGCGUUGUCCGGAAUUAUUGGGCGUAAAGAGCUCGUAGGCGGCCUGUUAAGUCGAACGUGAAAUCCCCGGGCUCAACCCGGGAACUGCGUCCGAUACUGGCAGGCUUGAAUCCGGGAGAGGGAUGCGGAAUUCCAGGUGUAGCGGUGAAAUGCGUAGAUAUCUGGAGGAACACCGGUGGCGAAGGCGGCAUCCUGGACCGGUAUUGACGCUGAGGCGCGAAAGCCAGGGGAGCAAACGGG